AUAGUCCCGGGAAACUGGGUUUAAUACCGUAUACGCCCUUCGGGGGAAAGAAUUUCGGUGAAGGAUCGGCCCGCGUUAGAUUAGAUAGUUGGUGGGGUAAUGGCCUACCAAGUCUACGAUCUAUAGCUGGUUUUAGAGGAUGAUCAGCAACACUGGGACUGAGACACGGCCCAAACUCCUACGGGAGGCAGCAGUGGGGAAUCUUAGACAAUGGGCGCAAGCCUGAUCUAGCCAUGCCGCGUGAGUGAUGAAGGCCUUAGGGUCGUAAAGCUCUUUCGCCAGGGAUGAUAAUGACAGUACCUGGUAAAGAAACCCCGGCUAACUCCGUGCCAGCAGCCGCGGUAAUACGGAGGGGGUUAGCGUUGUUCGGAAUUACUGGGCGUAAAGCGCGCGUAGGCGGAUUAGAAAGUUGGGGGUGAAAUCCCAGGGCUCAACCCUGGAACUGCCUCCAAAACUACUA
rnacentral:rRNA from 1 species